UACGGAGGGGGCUAGCGUUGUUCGGAAUUAUUGGGCGUAAAGGGCGCGUAGGCGGCCGAAUAAGUCUGACGUGAAAUCCCACGGCCCAACCGUGGAACUGCGUUUGAUACUGUUCGGCUCGAGUCCGGGAGAGGGUAGCGGAAUUCCCAGUGUAGCGGUGAAAUGCGUAGAUAUUGGGAGGAACACCGGUGGCGAAGGCGGCUACCUGGACCGGUACUGACGCUGAGGCGCGAAAGCUAGGGUAGCAAACAGG
rnacentral:rRNA from 1 species